CGGGGGGAGCAAGCGUUGUUCGGAUUUACUGGGCGUAAAGGGCGCGUAGGCGGCGCAACAAGUCACUUGUGAAAUCUCCGGGCUUAACCCGGAGCGGCCAAGUGAUACUGUCGUGCUAGAGUGCGGAAGGGGCUACUGGUAUUCUCGGUGUAGCGGUGAAAUGCGUAGAUAUCGAGAGGAACACCUGCGGCGAAGGCGGGUAGCUGGGCCGACACUGACGCUGAGGCGCGAAAGCCAGGGGAGCGAACGGGAUUAGAUACCCCGGUAGUCCUGGCCUUAAACGAUGGAUACUUGGUGUCCGGGGUUACAUAGUCCCCGGGUGCCGGCGCUAACGCAUUAAGUAUCCCGCCUGGGGAGUACGGUCGCAAGACUG
rnacentral:rRNA from 1 species